CGCGUACGAUUCAUAGGCGGCAUCGCUUGUGAAUGAAAAGGUGGCCUCUAUGUAUAAGCUAUCGCUGAAGGAGGGGAUUGCGUCUGAUUAGCUAGUUGGAGGGGUAACGGCCCACCAAGGCAAUGAUCAGUAGCCGGUCUGAGAGGAUGAACGGCCACAUUGGGACUGAGACACGGCCCAAACUCCUACGGGAGGCAGCAGUGGGGAAUCUUCCGCAAUGGACGAAAGUCUGACGGAGCAACGCCGCGUGAGUGAUGAAGGUCUUCGGAUUGUAAAGCUCUGUUAAUCGGGACGAAAGAGUUCUGUGUGAAUAAUGCAGAAAAGUGAC
rnacentral:rRNA from 1 species